GCCUAACACAUGCAAGUCGAGCGGCAGCGGGGUGAGUAGCAAUACUCACUGCCGGCGAGCGGCGGACGGGUGAGUAACACGUAGGAACCUGCCCAAGAGAGGGGGAUAACCAAGGGAAACUUUGGCUAAUACCGCGUAAUCUCGAGAGAGCAAAGCUGCCGAAAGGUGGCGCUUUUGGAGGGGCCUGCGUCCGAUUAGCUAGUUGGUAGGGUAAAAGCCUACCAAGGCUGUGAUCGGUAACUGGUCUGAGAGGACGACCAGUCACACUGGGACUGAGACACGGCCCAGACUCCUACGGGAGGCAGCAGUGGGGAAUCUUGGACAAUGGGGGAAACCCUGAUCCAGCGAUGCCGCGUGAGUGAAGAAGGCCCUCGGGUCGUAAAGCUCUUUAGGUUGGGAAGAAGUUUGCGAGAAGAUAAUGCUCGUAAGUUGACGGUACCGACAGAAUAAGCACCGGCAAACUCUGUGCCAGCCGCCGCAGUAA
rnacentral:rRNA from 1 species